rnacentral:rRNA from 1 species
UUCCGGUUGAUCCUGCCGGACCCCACUGCUAUCGGGAUAGGACUAAGACAUGCUAGUCGAGCGCCUUCCAGCCACGAAGAAGGCGCGGCACACAGCUCAGUAACACGUGGCUAACCUGCCCUCGGGACGAGAACACCCCCGGGAAACUGGGGCUAAUUCUCGAUAGGCGAAGAACUCUGGAAUGAGUCUUUACCCAAAAGACGUUUAGAUCAUGCUUCUAGGCGUCGCCCAAGGAUGGGGCCGCGACCGAUCAGGUAGUUGGUGAGGCAAUGGCUCACCAAGCCUUUAACCGGUGCGGGCCGUGGGAGCGGGAGCCCGGAGAUGGGCACUGAGACAAGGGCCCAGGCCCUACGGGGCGCAGCAGUCGCGAAAACUUUGCAAUAAGCGAAAGCUUGACAGGGCUAUCCCGAGUGCCAUCCGCUGAGGAAGGCUUUUACCCAGUCUAGUAAGCUGGGGGAAUAAGGAGAGGGCAAGUCUGGUGUCAGCCGCCGCGGUAAUACCAGCUCUCCGAGUGGUGUGGAUGUUUAUUGGGCCUAAAGCAUCCGUAGCUGGCUGAGUUAGUCCCCUGUUAAAUCCACCGAAUCAAUCGUUGGAUUGCGGGGGAUACUGCUCGGCUAGGGGACGGGAGAGGCAGACGGUAUUUCCGGGGUAAGGGUGAAAUCUUAUAAUCCCGGGAAGACCACCAGUGGCGAAGGCUGUCUGCUAGAACGCGCCCGACGGUGAGGGAUGAAAGCUGGGGUAGCGAACCGGAUUAGAUACCCGGGUAGUCCCAGCCGUAAACGAUGCAGGCUAGGUGUUUGGGCGGCCACGUGCCGCUCUAGUGCCGCAGGGAAGCUGUUAAGCCUGCCGCCUGGGGAGUACGAUCGCAAGAUUGAAACUUAAAGGAAUCGGCGGGGAGCACCACAAGGGAU